rnacentral:RNase_P_RNA from 1 species
CUCGUCCCCGUCUUAAAAACGGGGCUUCCGUGAAAUUGAAGAUUUUGCGGGAAGUGAAGGAGCGGCGGAACAAACGGACCUCGCCGCAAUGCGGCGAGGCAAUGGAUGUGAAGCUUGCGGCGGCGAGGUAAGGGUGGAAAGGUGCGGUAAGAGCGCACCCAUCGGCGCGGAAGCGUCCGAUGCUGUAAACUCUAUCCGGAGCAACACCGGUAUGGGAGCGUAUAGGCUGGCCCGGCCGCUCCCGGGGUGGCUGGAGCGCGCCGGCAACGGCGCGCCUAGAUAGAUGGCUGUCAAAUACAGAACCCGGCUUACAGUUUUGCUCGCAAC